GGAGGGGAAAGGAGACAAGCUACGGAAAAGAGAGAGUUGAGGAAUGAGAGGGAAAAGAGGGAGGAGAGUGAAAGUGGGAAAAUUAGACACCGAGGGAAGAGCGGUAAAAGAGACAGGUGAGGGAAAAGAGAGAGUUCAUGGAAAGAGGGAAG